UACGGGGGGAGCAAGCGUUGUUCGGAUUUACUGGGCUUAAAGGGCGCGUAGGCGGCGCAACAAGUCACUUGUGAAAUCUCCGGGCUUAACCCGGAGCGGCCAAGUGAUACUGUCGUGCUAGAGUGCGGAAGGGGCUACUGGAAUUCCUGGUGUAGCGGUGAAAUGCGCAGAUAUCAGGAGGAACACCGAUGGCGAAGGCAGGUCUCUGGGCAUUAACUGACGCUGAGGAGCGAAAGCAUGGGGAGCGAACAGG
rnacentral:rRNA from 1 species